ensembl:lncRNA
GGUUGGACAGACACAGGCUGUCUGCUUGGAUUUUUCUAGCUCAUAGCUUCGCCCUGCUACGAAGCGUGUGUGCUUGUACAAAGGCCGUUCAGCCUUUGGAUUUACACUCGGCUCGACAUGGAUAUGUGAAGAAUGAAGGGACCCUGCAGCGAAACGGAGAGCUCAACCUCUGACUGAGUGCCUGUUUUCGCAGUCUGACCACCUGUUGAAGGGCUGUUUGAUGAUGAUUUGGAUUCCUCUGGGAGAUGAGGACACACCCACAUCUGUUCCAUACUGCAGCCAUUGAUGGUGUUAUGGCUCUGAGGCAGCUUUGGGCCAUCAGACGCACACACUGGAAAACCUUCAUGCAGGAGAGACGGCCUCAGUGAUUUAGCAGGAAACUGAGUCAAAAACAACAUCACUCUGUUCACACCCGCCCUGUCCUUCUCGGCCGGGGGUGAACCACAGCGUGGCAAGCAUCGUGGGGUCCAGACUUAGGAGAGAGGGGCACUCCGGUUCCACACCGAUGAACUGAAGUACAGUGGAAACCACAGUUUGAAUAUCACUUUCAGUACCUUGACUUUGAUUUUAUUUGACAUUUUUUUUUUGUAAAUACAGUGGCUCAGUAUAUGGAUGCGUUUUU